UGUGCAGACUGUACACACUACA
rnacentral:miRNA from 1 species